rnacentral:rRNA from 1 species
ACGGUCAUAUCACAUAAAAACACCGCUUCUCCUACGAUCACCGAGGUUUAAGCAACGUUGAGCCUGGACAAUACUGGGAUGGGUGUCCGCUUGGGAGUACG